UAGUUACACACUUGCCCAAUUAGCGUUUCUCCUUCUCAAAUCCAAGUUAGUUAUGAGGUAAGCAAUACCCAAAGAAGAAAGGGUUUUUGCUUAUAUAUGGUUUGGGAUUCAUCUAAGUGAUUUUAUAUGUCUUCCCCUGUGCAUAUUCCCAGUAAACCAUGAUCGCACAUGAUUGUCUGCGACUGCGUCCACAUGACCUCAGUUAUGUGCCACAAUCGUAUUAUAUUGACCAUAUUGUCUGACCGCGACCAUUGAUUAAGGACAACGGUCAUGGUAAUUGAGGCUUAUGUAGUCCAGGUCUUCAGCUACACUCUUCUUUGAUCCAUUUUUAUCAUUUUCAGCUCCAAUCCACAUCUUUUGUUCUUCUCAACUCUAUGCCUACAAAGAGUGGAUAUUAGUGCAUUUUAUCACCAAUAUUUCUCAUUCAUUUAUUCAAAAAAAGGUAAUGUGCAUAAAUGUUUAGUGAGAAUGAGAAGAAAAAUCACCCCAUCACCCGUCGUAAUACAAUGGACUUACUUAAAGGGUUAGACACUGAAAAAGGAUCUACUAAUAUUUUGGGACUAACACCAAAGUUUACAGUGAUGUAAGGAGUCACAAAGGAAAGUGAAGCUCCUGGAUUUAACAAUGCAUAUACAUGAAGAUGGAAGACUUUUAAUGUACUCGUAACCAUAUCAAGAGAACUUUUCUAAUCAUGCCGAGUCUAGAGAGCAUAUAGCCUAUUCUAGCACUGCCUAUUAAUGGCACUGGAAUUGGCACCCUGUUGAGUCAGGCGACCUGCUAGAGAUGAUGAAAGAUUAGACUAGCCCUAUUGGCAUGAAUUACCUCUCUUUUGGGAUACUGCUUGACACUUCUUGAUCCUAUGUCUUGGAUUGUCAUACCUAAAUCACACAUUACUACCUGGCUGGCAUUCACUCUGAUGGUUCUUACCCUACUUUUCUUAGAGUAGGUUGGUACAUCUACUGUAUACACUACCCUAGGUCUUAGAGGAUAGCUCUCUAUCCCGACUGUCCUGCCAGAACUUAGGUAUUGGUGCACUAGAUGAAGAUUAAGCUAGGGCUGAAAAUUUCUAGCAGAACUAAGAAUGGUUACUACCUUCUGGCCUUGGCUGAGAAAAGUUGAAACUACCUAUUUUGUCCCUCUUAUUCUCUCUCUUUCUUUCUCCUUAAGCUUCUCCUUCUCAAUCUGUUAAGCAUGAAUUAUUAUUCGAGAUAGGUCUAUCUCCUUAAUAAACAUAGCAGUCCUACACUCCUUAACCACAUUAUCAGAUACACCACAUAAGAACUUACUUAUUCUGGACCUAUUGUUAGAUACCAUCGUAGGAGCAUACCUUUCCAUCUGAGUAAACUUGAGCGAGUACUCAUUCAUGCUUAUACAUCCCUACUUCAAAUUUAUGAAUUCCUGAACCUUAGUUUCCCUCAACUCAAGUGGGAAAAACUUAUCUAGGAAAGCCAUGGAAAAGUUUUACCACUCCAUAGGCUCUACUUCCACAUCCUUAUCUUACUUCUACUACAUAAACUAGGUGUGAGCUACUCCGUGUAACUGAUAUGCAACCAACUCUGCACUCUCAUUCGAAGUUACACCCAUGAUGUCUAUCACUUUUUGUACCAUAUCCAGAAACUUCUAUGGAUCCUCCUCAGACUUGGACCCAGAAAAGAAAGGGGGAUUCAUCUGAGUGAAAUCUUAAAUCCUAACUGUAGCUAUAUUUGGUAAUAGAUUGGCUGGGGAAAUAGAUUGUUGAUUAUUCUGAGCAGCUACAAAAUGGGAUAAGACCGUAAAAGCGACCCUUAACUCACUGUAAGAGAUAUACUCUUUUAGGGGAUCUUUCUGAAUAGGUGGUGUUUUGGGUUGAUCCCCAUUUCUUCUUUCAUCGUUUCUUCAGAAAGGCAUUAUCUAUAAACAGAAUGAAGAGUGAGUUACAAAGAGGAAUUCAAUAGAGCUCAUGAUCUUUUGCAUGACAUAAAUAUUGAAAGAAGGGAAACUUUCCUAAAAAUGUCGCGUAGCCUCUUGUCCAUAAGAGUGGUAUGUUUCACGCCUAUGUACAUGAAUCUACACAAUGACGAUUUUAGACACCAUAGGAAACUUUAAAACCUUAGGCUCUGAUACGAAUUUUUUCAUGACCCGAGGCUACCCUCUAGUCGUGACAUAGCGCUAAAGGACACAAGUGACCCCAAGCUAACCCAUGGUCUAGUACCUGCUAUGAGCACUGAAUAAAAUAAAAGUAAAACAACAUGUGUGGAAAAUAAACUAGUAAGGUACUGUCAAUCUAAUACUAAAAUAUAUAAAAUGACAUAUCUGAAGUAUCUGAUAAACAUUGGAAAACUAAACUGUCUAUCUAAAAUAAUUGAUAAUAACUGAAAGUUGAAAGACUGUCUAACUAUCUGAAAAGCCUCUAAGAAUCAUAAGGAAUUGAUAAGACAAGCUCCCAACUAACUCCAACUAACUGAAUCAUAAUAAAAUACUGAAAUGAAUGAAAUAACAUAACACAUCCUCAUUGGAUGAGGACUCACCACUACUACCAUAGGGAAUUGUUGAGUUGUCCAAGGAUGGUCGGGAAACUAUGCAUCCAAACCUAUGUUAUAAGACAACAUAGUGGAAGAGAAAGGUAUGCAAUCAGGACUUUGAAUGUAUUGGUACGUGAGGUAAGGAAUAAUUAAAAUACAAGAAAAAACUAAAUAUAAUUACAUGAAUGUGUAAAAUUGAACAUGCAAUACCAAGCAUUUUAAUACACUAACAUUAUCUAAACAACUGGUGCAGUUUGUAUAACUGAAUAAAUAAAUACUGAAAACUGACUACUUGGUCUAGCAAAACUAAACUAAAAAAAACUACCAAUACUGAUUGAAACUAUGGGUGCUAUCAUGUAACCGACAUAAAACAUGGAUAUUACCAUAGAGUCCAACGUUUGACCCACGUCGAUGAGGGUUGUUUUAUACUUUCCAUCGGAGUGGAAUCUAAACUGGAGUGAUCACUAAACUGAUCCUAACUUAGGAAAAAGGGGAAACACUCUUUGGCAAAUCCCUAAAUCCUACGGGGGCACAUUGUUUCAAGGAAGUAGGACACGCUGAACCUAUAUUUCCCUCUUAGUGCUAAAUCCUACUCCCAACUGAAUGACACUAGUGUUAUUCAGGGUUUAAUAUAACAUGGUAUUGUCCUGACAAGGAUCAACUUGAACUUGAACAUAGUAAUGAAAUCAUGGUCUAACUAACUUGUACUUUGAAAAAUCUGAAAUAACAAGUAAACACAGAGGUAUCGGGUGUUCAAAACCUGCCAGCACUGAAUGAUUACUAAAUUAUGACAAUAUUUAAAUGAUAAUAGGAAGUCAUAAUUCAGAUAUCCAAAAGAAAAUAAAUUUCAAUAAUCACUGAAGCACGUGAAUUUAAAUAUGGAACGAUGUAAACCAUGAGAAAAUUACAUGCUUACAUGAUUUAAAUUGAUAAAUACAUGGAUUUAAUUUAAAUAUACACAAGAAUUUGAGAUUCAGAGCAUUACAUGACCUAAUUUACAUAGGACCAUUUGAGGACAUGAAUUUUGUUCAAUUUACAAAGCAAAAAUGUGAAUUGAAUUCAUCUUGAGCAUGUGAAAUCCCAUAAAUGAAGGAAAACUCAUACUUUAAUCAAAGAAAGGGUUUUUAGGCUCAAUAGGUGAAAUUAACCGAUUGAUGAAUACCCCAUAUACGUUAAAGUUCUUGGCUUGGUGAAGUAAACUUGACCAUUUAGACUUGGGAGAUGAUCCUGAAAAGAAACCCUAAUCUUGCUCUUGAGAAUGGAAAUAGGUUUUUGUGUUGUUUAAUUGAUGGGAAAAAAAGGAAAAGUAGUGCCCCUUGGGGUUAAAUUUCAUAGGUUAGGAGUUAUAAGGGGAUAAAAGACCAAACACCCCCUUAGAAAUCUUCUAAAAAUUGUUUGGAAGCAUCCCAACGUGUUUGGGUUUGACUCGUAUGUUUUGGGUAUGGGUCGUAGCUUGAGUCAUCAUUGGAAACCCAAAUUUCAACCCCUACUAUUAUGGGUACAAAUCCUACUGACGACUCGUAUGGACUGCUUAUGAGUCAUAUCAGUGAGUCAUACCCUAUUGGAAGCUAACAUCGCUUCUAUAAUUUAGCAAUAAAUUCUCAUAGCAAUAUUGGAUCAAGGCAAAAUUGGUAUUAUUGGAAAUAUAAUUUAAUUAUAUAUCUAUUGGUGGGUCUUUAUCUCAUAAAUUCUUCAUAGAACAAAAUUUAUUUUCAUUUGGAGAUGACUAUAGUUAUAUACAUCCCAAAAACUUAGUCACUAUAGGAUAUUUCAACUUGUCUAUAAGUUAGGAGAUAUUUGAUGACUUAAUAUAUGUCCAAGUAACGUAUAAAUCUAUCAAAAUAUGAGGCUUGGUUCUUGGAUCCUUUACUGAUCAGGAUACGAUUAAUAUCUUACGACUCAUAACAAGUUACACGACUAGCACUCAUCCUCUCGUAACUUGGACAAAACUCAUCUCACCUUACACUGAUUUAUUUAUGACUUAUCAUGUAUGACUCAUAUGAUCACCUUAUGACUUUCAAGGCAUGAGUCAUACCUCAAAUAGAAUAUCACCCAUCGCAUAUUGUCAUAGGUAUGAGUUGAACAAACGACUCAUAAAAUGUCCAUACGACUCUAAGGCAUAAGCUGUAUGUUGUACAAUUACUUCAAAACAUAGGGUAUUACAUUAAAAUUAUCAAAGUCCAUAAUAAAUAAAAAAACAAGUUUACUAUUACAACGAUCGUGGUGCAUUACAUACGUAGCACUUAUUUUUUCUUGACGGGCAUUUAGUCCUUUGACAUUAAAUAUGGUUACCCUUUGUUCCUUCGUAGUUUUGUACACUACUUCACGAUGGGAACUGAAGAUUAAACAUUGUUUAAUAUUGAUGGGGUUGCAAGAAUAAGGUACAUGUAGAUGGAUUGAUCGACUUUCAUGCAUGGAAGUUAUGUAUUACUAAUCAAGUUAUUGUGAUAACACACAUAAAGUGUAAUGAUUUUAUGAAUGAAGUUUUCUACCAGUUAGUCCUUGGUCAUUCAUACAAGAUCAUGUAUUUUAUAGUUAAGUUUGAUAGGUGUGAAUUGAUAAGGCUAAGGGAACAUGAUAUGGUGUCGAUACCUUGUUACAAUUUAAUGAUGAUUUUUCUCAUGUUUAUGCGUGUUAGGUUUUAAGAAGGGAUUAAUAUUUAAUGGUAGUAUAGAGAUUUAAUAGUGAUUAGACUAGUUUUAAUGGUGCAAUGGACUUUAAGAAGGCUUUCAAAGCUUUCCAGUGCAGUAAAUAAGAAUGAAAAACCAGUAAAAACUUCCCAAGUCCAAAUUUUUAUGGAUAGGUUGCUUGAGGAGAUGAUUAUAUAGCAGAAUGUGUUGUAGGAGAAUAUCUGCACGGGAAAAAGGAGUUGUUGAAGAUUGUAUCAUCUCAGAUCGUGUUAAAGAGGAAUCACAGUCGAGCAAUCAAGGAACUUAUAGAUAAUAUGGCCAAUAAAAUUGACUUGAAAGAUGAAAAAUCUGAGCUGCAAAUGUGAAAGUAUAUCAAAAAAUUAAAAUCUGCUAGUCGUUGUUGAAAAGAAAAAUGGUAAAGUUCGUUGGAGCUGGACACUUUGAUAGGUAACUGCGACUAGUUAGCGUGGCCUAAAUUUUGACCCACAAAGCACAGGAUCAUUACUCCAAGGAAACAUCUUUGCGAGCAUCGAGAAUUGGUAAGAUGGUCAGUAAGAAACAAAACUUAAACAAACAACUUCUUAAGUAAAAAUAAGAGAAGCUAAGACAUCAAUUUCUAAAGUCUAACUUGCAUCCCAUGCCUUAUGUUUGUGGUUCUGAUCAGGUCAAUGGCAGUGGAAACAAAAAUGUCUUAAAUUGGGCAGAAAUCCCAUGUCUUUUUAUUUCCUCUGCCUUUGAUCUGACCAGAACCACAAGAAGAAGGCCUAGGAUGAAAAUUUAACUUCAGAAAUUGCCACCUUGGAUUGAUCCCUUAUUUUUACUUCGGGAGUUGUUGGUUUAAGUUACGUUCCUGGCUGACCAUCUUACCACCCCUAAGUGCUCGUAAAUCCUUUUCCUUUUUGUUCUGAUCCUGCACUUUGUGGGUCAUCAUUCAAGCCAUGCUAACUAGUCGUAGUUACCUAGAAAAGUGUCCACCUCCAGUCAACUUCACUAUUUUUCUUUUCAACAACGAGUGAUGGAUUUUUUAUUUUUGGAUACACUUUUAAUUUUUUUGCUUAUUUAUUUUCUUCAUUUUUGAUGUCAAUUUCAGCGGCUAGAUUCGCUACACAUUCCUUGGAACCUUGUGUUUGUUCUUUAAUAAGGUCUGAGUUGAUAUAUAGUCUUCAGCACCUCCCCUUUCACUCGCAGAUAUUCUCCCAGGCACCUUCUGAUGUAUAUCAUCAUCUCAAUCAACCUAGCCAUAUAAAUUUGGAUCAGGGCAAUAACUAUAUUGAUUUCUUUUCUUGUUUGCAGCAGUGCGAGGCUUUGGAGGCCUUUCAAACGUCCAUUGAAACUUUAAAAUUGAUCAAAUUACUGUUGAAUCUUUACACUGCUACCAAAAACUUGAGCCUUUCUCAAAACUUGCCAAAUAAAUAUUAGCAAAACCAUCAUUAAAUCAUAAUAAGGUAUCGACACCACUUACAGGGUCCCUCGGCCUUAUCAAUUUAAACCUAUCAAUCUUAACUGUAAAAUGCAAUUUCUUGUUUGAAUGAUUAAUGCCUAAUUAAUAAGGAACAAUAUUCAUAAAAUCACUGUACUCUAUGUGUGUAUUCAUGAUAACAUGAUCAAUAACACAUACCGCCCACAUAUGAAGUGGUUCUAUCUGCAAGUAGUUUAUUCCUCCAAACUCAUAUUUACUCUAGCCUUUUAUGUUCAUCGGGAAAAAGUUGAUCCACUUUCACAUCAGUUUCUUUUGGGAGACAUCUUUUAUCUACAAAUAAGAGAAAAAUAAAAAGAACAUUACAAUUGAUAUCUACAUAAUUUUAAAAAGGGUAACAUAAAAUCCAAUAAAUACAACACAUUACAACAAGCAUUCCAAUAGAUGGCCCAUCUGUUGUAACAAAUUCUCCAACUGUUCAAGAGAUGAGUCAUCUGUUGCAACAGGUGACAUAUUUGUUACAACAGCUGACCAACAUAUUGUAAUAGAUGGGUCAUCUAUUGGAAGAAAUCAAACUUUGGAGGACUUUUCCAAUAGUUGAUUCAUCAGUUGCAACAGAUGGGGAUUCUAUUAGAAUACCUAUUUUAAUAUCCUCCCCCAUAUGUUCCAACACCAACAACAACAUCAACAAUAGCACCAACAACAAAGAAACAAGACCAUAUGCUCCAACACCAUAUGUUCAAACAACACUAAAACCACCAACAACAACAACAACAUCAACAAUAAAGAAAUAAAUAAAAGAUAAACAAAAAAAUGAUGCUGCCAACAAGAAUUUUUAAGUUAUCCCAAUAGAUGACUUUUUUUGCAUAGUUUAAUAAAAAUAACAGUUCGUUCUUUCAAGACUUAAUAAUAUUGAGACAUCUUUCCUUCAAUUUUCUCAAUAAAUAGGAUAUGGGUAAUGGAUAAAUAAAUGAAAACAACGUAUGUAAAUAUCUACUUUAAAUAAACAAUUUAAAAAUAUGAUAUUUAUAUUUUCAAUUUUCAUCAUAGAAAACAUGAAAAAUUUGAUAAAAUAUGUAAAGAAGAAACGAGAAGGCAAGAGAAAUAGUGAACCAUACCUAUCAUGUCAAAAAAAAAGGGAUCAAAACUGUAAUUUCAAUUGAGAAAAGAUAUAAAUUGGUUAAGAUCCAAAAAGAUCCUCAGGCAAAAGAAGAGAAAAAAAAGAGAAGACAGUUGGGAUUAUCCAAAAAAGAAGAAAAAGAAAAAGAAGAGAGAUG
rnacentral:lncRNA from 1 species